rnacentral:rRNA from 2 species
GAUAAGUGCUGAAAGCAUCUAAGCACGAAACUUGCCCCGAGAUGAGUUCUCCCUGAGACUUUAGGUCUCCUGAAGGAACGUUGAAGACGACGACGUUGAUAGGCCGGGUGUGUAAGCGCAGCGAUGCGUUGAGCUAACCGGUACUAAUGAACCGUGAGGCUUAACCUUACAACGCCGAAG